rnacentral:rRNA from 1 species
AUUGAACGCUGGCGGCAGGCCUAACACAUGCAAGUCGAACGGUAACAGGAAACAGCUUGCUGUUUCGCUGACGAGUGGCGGACGGGUGAGUAAUGUCUGGGAAACUGCCUGAUGGAGGGGGAUAACUACUGGAAACGGUAGCUAAUACCGCAUAACGUCGCAAGACCAAAGAGGGGGACCCUCGGGCCUCUUGCCAUCGGAUGUGCCCAGAUGGGAUUAGCUUGUUGGUGGGGUAACGGCUCACCAAGGCGACGAUCCCUAGCUGGUCUGAGAGGAUGACCAGCCACACUGGAACUGAGACACGGUCCAGACUCCUACGGGAGGCAGCAGUGGGGAUUAUUGCACAAUGGGCGCAAGCCUGAUGCAGCCAUGCCGCGUGUAUGAAGAAGGCCUUCGGGUUGUAAAGUACUUUCAGCGGGGAGGAAGGGAGUAAAGUUAAUACCUUUGCUCAUUGACGUUACCCGCAGAAGAAGCACCGGCUAACUCCGUG